rnacentral:lncRNA from 1 species
CCCCUUUAAAACAGGAUCGCAAACAGGCUAUAGUAUUGAAAUCAGAAAAGUAAAACUAAUAAAUCCUAUUACAUGUUUUUACAACUAAAUCAAGUUUAGACAACUCUAAUUACCACUAGUCCCAAAGACUCGAUCUUGGAUACUCUUCCUGACCAUCAGGUUGAAACUUAGUCACUUGCAAUCCUCGCCUAGCCUUACUCUUAUGCUUAGCCUAAAUAGGCGAACCAUCUUUAACAUUAUCUGAAAGGGUUAGAAGAAAUAGCAAGAAUGAGCAAAAGAAUGCUCAGCAAGUAUAAUAAUUAAAAAGAAACAGGAGUUGAUGCAGAGAAAGUAAUUGAACUGGAAGUAUUCAAAAAAACAUGCUUUUAACUUGAAACCAAAACAAUUCAAAAGUAUAUAUGAAUUUCUAAAGCAUUCAGAUAUAUUGGACGUUUUUAAAAGUUAUCAUAGAUGAUCAGUCCAUUGAUAACCCAGACAUUGUUUACACAAAUGUCCUAUAUUAAAAUUUGUUCCGGAACUAAAGACUAGCUAGGUCUUUAGACAUUGCUGGGCCAUCUAAAAUGGACCUCUUACGCACCCUUCAAGCUGGGCCGUUACAGGGUAACAGACCUCUUACGCAAUCAACUAAGCUGGGCCGUUAUGGGAUAACGGACCUCUUACGCAACUCCAAUAUCUGUUAUUAUUGCUUCCCAGUUCUAAAUAAUUGCAUUUUUAAGAAAAGGUUUAUUCUAUAGGAAGUAUACUUACAACGGAUAAGCCUUACAACCGAGGGACUAAACCGAGUUAUGAAAAACAUUUAUAGAGAUUUAAAACCAUGUGUAUCAAUUUGAUAAGUUACUCUUUCCAACUCAAAAUCGUACUUAAGUCAUGCAUUUGCAGUAAGUAAAAGUUUUAAGGAAAGAGCACUCAGCUUUUAAAUAUAGCAUUUGAACUGGAAUACUUGCAGUAAAUACAAGUUGAGAAUAGAAUUACUUGCAUAAGGGUUUAAAGAAAAUAUCACUUGAACAAUAAGAGAAGAUAGAGAUACUUGCACUUUCAAAUAUACAAGAGAGGAAUGGGAAUACUUGCAUAAUAGGGUGUAAAGAAAAUAUCACUUGAACAAUAAGUAAAGAUAAGAAUACUUGCCUUAACUCCGAUGUCUAGCUCAGAUUUCUAAUAACACUAUUUACUGCAUAAUCAUUCCAUUUGCUAGCUUCUAACGGAACUCAUUCUACGCCACAGCCUUGUC